AUUGAACGCUGGCGGCAUGCCUUACACAUGCAAGUCGAACGGCAGCACGGGUGCUUGCACCUGGUGGCGAGUGGCGAACGGGUGAGUAAUAUAUCGGAACGUACCUUAUUGUGGGGGAUAACGCAGCGAAAGCUGUGCUAAUACCGCAUAAUCCCUAAGGGGGAAAGCGGGGGACCGUAAGGCCUCGCGCAAUUAGAGCGGCCGAUACCUGAUUAGCUAGUUGGUGAGGUAAGGCUCACCAAGGCAACGAUCAGUAGCUGGUCUGAGAGGACGGUCAGCCACACUGGGACUGAGACACGGCCCAGACUCCUACGGGAGGCAGCAGUGGGGAAUUUUGGACAAUGGGGGCAACCCUGAUCCAGCAAUGCCGCGUGAGUGAAGAAGGCCUUCGGGUUGUAAAGCUCUUUUGUCAGGGAAGAAACAGCAGCUCUAACACAGUUUGCGAAUGACGGUACCUGAAGAAUAAGCACCGGCUAACUACGUGCCAGCAGCCGCAGUAA
rnacentral:rRNA from 1 species